AUACGUAGGGGGCUAGCGUUAUCCGGAUUUACUGGGCGUAAAGGGUGCGUAGGUGGUUUCUUAAGUCAGGAGUGAAAGGCUACGGCUCAACCGUAGUAAGCUCUUGAAACUGGGGAACUUGAGUGCAGGAGAGGAAAGUGGAAUUCCUAGUGUAGCGGUGAAAUGCGUAGAUAUUAGGAGGAACACCAGUAGCGAAGGCGGCUUUCUGGACUGUAACUGACACUGAGGCACGAAAGCGUGGGGAGCAAACAGGAUUAGAUACCCUGGUAGUCCACGCCGUAAACGAUGAGUACUAGGUGUCGGGGGUUACCCCCCUCGGUGCCGCAGCUAACGCAUUAAGUACUCCGCCUGGGGAGUACGCUCGCAAGAGCGAA
rnacentral:rRNA from 1 species